GACGAACGCUGGCGGCGUGCUUAACACAUGCAAGUCGAACGGAAAGGCCCUGCUUUUGUGGGGUGCUCGAGUGGCGAACGGGUGAGUAACGCGUGAGUAACCUGCCCUUGACUUUGGGAUAACUUCAGGAAACUGGGGCUAAUACCGGAUAGGAGCUCCUGCUGCAUGGUGGGGGUUGGAAAGUUUCGGCGGUUGGGGAUGGACUCGCGGCUUAUCAGCUUGUUGGUGGGGUAGUGGCUUACCAAGGCUUUGACGGGUAGCCGGCCUGAGAGGGUGACCGGCCACAUUGGGACUGAGAUACGGCCCAGACGCCUACGGGAGGCAGCAGUGGGGAAUAUUGCACAAUGGGCGGAAGCCUGAUGCAGCAACGCCGCGUGCGGGAUGACGGCCUUCGGGUUGUAAACCGCUUUCGCCUGUGACGAAGCGUGAGUGACGGUAAUGGGUAAAGAAGCACCGGCUAACUACGU
rnacentral:rRNA from 1 species